AGGCUUGUCCGGGUUGCAUUUCGAUCCUCCGGUGGCUUCUCCUUGUGAGGUGCUGCCGGUGCGGCCUUUGUAACUCGUCUUGCGAUGGGACGACGCAUGAGUGGUUGUUAGGAUAUGUUUCCCACGCAGGCUCCGUGUACCUGGCAUCGAACUGCGUGGGCCUAUCCAUCUCAUUCGUGAGUUCGCCUCGGCGCCUUUAGGGUCGGUUGCGACUACUCGUUGGGUUCCUGUGCUUGAUACCGAAUUCGGUAGUCGGAUGGAUUGUUCCCCGUUUUGGUUCAUCGAUCCUCCUCUGCCUCGUGAGGCGUUGGUGGAUAUCGUGCGGGCGUCGACGCUUUCCUUCCGAGCCGUUGCCUACCUUCGGGAGCCACUGCUUGUGAUGGCGCGUAGAUGCUGCCGGCACUCUCGGGUACGGAGAUUUUGAUGGUUAUCGCUUAGGUCUUCGUCGACCUUCGUGAUCGUAACGUAUCGAAGCACUCUUGCUUCUGUUCGCAUGACCCUCGUGCUCGUCCGAGAGCUCGCGGAGCCUCUUCGUUCCGUGUUCUUCUCGGGGAGCCUUCGAGGUCUACGAAGGAAUGC
rnacentral:misc_RNA from 1 species